GGGUUGUGAGGUUAAGCGACUAAGCGUACACGGUGGAUGCCCUGGCAGUCAGAGGCGAUGAAGGACGUGCUAAUCUGCGAAAAGCGUCGGUAAGGUGAUAUGAACCGUUAUAGCCGGCGAUGUCCGAAUGGGGAAACCCAGUGUGAUUCGUCACACUAUCGUUAACUGAAUACAUAGGUUAACGAGGCGAACCGGGGGAACUGAAACAUCUAAGUACCCCGAGGAAAAGAAAUCAACCGAGAUUCCCCCAGUAGCGGCGAGCGAACGGGGAGCAGCCCAGAGUCUGAAUCAGCUUGUGUGUUAGUGGAACGGUCUGGAAAGUCCGACGGUACAGGGUGAUAGUCCCGUACACCAAAAUGCACAGGCUGUGAACUCGAAGAGUAGGGCGGGACACGUGGUAUCCUGUCUGAAUAUGGGGGGACCAUCCUCCAAGGCUAAAUACUCCUGACUGACCGAUAGUGAACCAGUACCGUGAGGGAAAGGCGAAAAGAACCCCGGCGAGGGGAGUGAAAAAGAACCUGAAACCGUGUACGUACAAGCAGUGGGAGCACCUUCGGGUGUGACUGCGUACCUUUUGUAUAAUGGGUCAGCGACUUAUAUUCUGUAGCAAGGUUAACCGUAUAGGGGAGCCGCAGGGAAACCGAGUCUUAACUGGGCGUUAAGUUGCAGGGUAUAGACCCGAAACCCGGUGAUCUAGCCAUGGGCAGGUUGAAGGUUGGGUAACACUAACUGGAGGACCGAACCGACUAAUGUUGAAAAAUUAGCGGAUGACUUGUGGCUGGGGGUGAAAGGCCAAUCAAACCGGGAGAUAGCUGGUUCUCCCCGAAAGCUAUUUAGGUAGCGCCUCGUGAACUCAUCUUCGGGGGUAGAGCACUGUUUCGGCUAGGGGGUCAUCCCGACUUACCAACCCGAUGCAAACUACGAAUACCGAAGAAUGUUAUCACGGGAGACACACGGCGGGUGCUAACGUCCGUCGUGAAGAGGGAAACAACCCAGACCGCCAGCUAAGGUCCCAAAGUCAUGGUUAAGUGGGAAACGAUGUGGGAAGGCACAGACAGCCAGGAUGUUGGCUUAGAAGCAGCCAUCAUUUAAAGAAAGCGUAAUAGCUCACUGGUCGAGUCGGCCUGCGCGGAAGAUGUAACGGGGCUAAACCAUGCACCGAAGCUGCGGCAGCGACACUAUGUGUUGUUGGGUAGGGGAGCGUUCUGUAAGCCUGCGAAGGUGACCUGUGAGGGUUGCUGGAGGUAUCAGAAGUGCGAAUGCUGACAUAAGUAACGAUAAAGCGGGUGAAAAGCCCGCUCGCCGGAAGACCAAGGGUUCCUGUCCAACGUUAAUCGGGGCAGGGUGAGUCGACCCCUAAGGCGAGGCCGAAAGGCGUAGUCGAUGGGAAACAGGUUAAUAUUCCUGUACUUGGUGUUACUGCGAAGGGGGGACGGAGAAGGCUAUGUUAGCCGGGCGACGGUUGUCCCGGUUUAAGCAUGUAGGCUGAUUGUCCAGGCAAAUCCGGAUAAUCAAGGCUGAGGUGUGAUGACGAGGCACUACGGUGCUGAAGUAACAAAUGCCCUGCUUCCAGGAAAAGCCUCUAAGCAUCAGGUAACAUCAAAUCGUACCCCAAACCGACACAGGUGGUCAGGUAGAGAAUACCAAGGCGCUUGAGAGAACUCGGGUGAAGGAACUAGGCAAAAUGGUGCCGUAACUUCGGGAGAAGGCACGCUGGUGUGUAGGUGAAGUCCCUGCGGAUGGAGCUGAGACCAGUCGAAGAUACCAGCUGGCUGCAACUGUUUAUUAAAAACACAGCACUGUGCAAACACGAAAGUGGACGUAUACGGUGUGACGCCUGCCCGGUGCCGGAAGGUUAAUUGAUGGGGUUAUCCGUAAGGAGAAGCUCUUGAUCGAAGCCCCGGUAAACGGCGGCCGUAACUAUAACGGUCCUAAGGUAGCGAAAUUCCUUGUCGGGUAAGUUCCGACCUGCACGAAUGGCGUAAUGAUGGCCAGGCUGUCUCCACCCGAGACUCAGUGAAAUUGAACUCGCUGUGAAGAUGCAGUGUACCCGCGGCAAGACGGAAAGACCCCGUGAACCUUUACUAUAGCUUGACACUGAACAUUGAGCCUUGAUGUGUAGGAUAGGUGGGAGGCUUUGAAGCGUGGACGCCAGUCUGCGUGGAGCCAACCUUGAAAUACCACCCUUUAAUGUUUGAUGUUCUAACGUUGGCCCCUUACCGGGGUUGCGGACAGUGUCUGGUGGGUAGUUUGACUGGGGCGGUCUCCUCCCAAAGCGUAACGGAGGAGCACGAAGGUUAGCUAAUCCUGGUCGGACAUCAGGAGGUUAGUGCAAUGGCAUAAGCUAGCUUGACUGCGAGCGUGACGGCGCGAGCAGGUGCGAAAGCAGGUCAUAGUGAUCCGGUGGUUCUGAAUGGAAGGGCCAUCGCUCAACGGAUAAAAGGUACUCCGGGGAUAACAGGCUGAUACCGCCCAAGAGUUCAUAUCGACGGCGGUGUUUGGCACCUCGAUGUCGGCUCAUCACAUCCUGGGGCUGAAGUAGGUCCCAAGGGUAUGGCUGUUCGCCAUUUAAAGUGGUACGCGAGCUGGGUUUAGAACGUCGUGAGACAGUUCGGUCCCUAUCUGCCGUGGGCGCUGGAGAAUUGAGGGGGGCUGCUCCUAGUACGAGAGGACCGGAGUGGACGCAUCACUGGUGUUCGGGUUGUCAUGCCAAUGGCACUGCCCGGUAGCUAAAUGCGGAAGAGAUAAGUGCUGAAAGCAUCUAAGCACGAAACUUGCCCCGAGAUGAGUUCUCCCUGAGACUUUAAGUCUCCUGAAGGAACGUUGAAGACGACGACGUUGAUAGGCCGGGUGUGUAAGCGCAGCGAUGCGUUGAGCUAACCGGUACUAAUGAACCGUGAGGCUUAACCUUACAACGCCGAAG
rnacentral:rRNA from 1 species